AGCAGAUAGUCAGCUUUGCAAAGCCAGCCAGGGGCUCAGGCGGGAGCCUGGCAGCCCAGUACCUACCCGACAAGCUGGUGACCCUAGGAAAGUUGCUUGUCCCCUCUGAAGCCUCAAUGUCCUCCCCUGUCUGUGGGGCCAGUGACAGUAACGGCACCUCAACAUGUUGCUGCAAGUACUGACACGAAGCAGGGCACACCCAGAACCCGGCAAAGGGACUGGGCAGAGAGAAGGUAUCCAACUGCAGAGACGAUUCGGGUUUUCAUGGUUUCAGGAGACGUGAUGCCUGGUGCAGAAAAUGGAUCCCUGACAGUCCAGAACUGCUGAGCUGCUCAGGACGUCCCUGGGAUCUGCUCUUCCCCGUCCAGAGACCCUGCUUUAUUGAUUCUGUCCUCCUGAGCUACGUUAGCAGAGUAAUGCAUCAGAUGGACGAUUGCUGGCCCCUUCAAGGGCCUCCUGGCUCUCAGCUCACCAGCCCACCCUGCCCAAGCAAUCCUGCAGGAGCCGGGGCUGCUUGAAUAUUCUGUAAAUAAUGCUGACUCCAGAACUUCAGAGAUAGACUCAUGGAAUCUCAGCAAUAGAAUCACAGAAUGUCAGAGGAGAAACAGAUGCUAGACAGCACAUGGUCCAGGGUCGGAAAAUACACCUCACUCCGGCUGCCGCUUCCCCCUGCCGUGCCCAUGGCAGACAUCACUAAUCAAUCAUGACACUGUCUGGCUGAGCUUGUUUGCAGCCUUCGGAUCCUUCAAGAC